GACUUAAACUCUUUCCCAGUUAGAACUGCUUUUUCUAACUGUUGAAAAAACUCGACAAAGUGACACACAGUUAUUAAGCACCUACUAUGUGAAAGGGACUUGCUAGAUGCUUGGGCUAUAAAGUCUAAACAUUCCCUGACCUUAAGGAAUUUACAAUCUACUGGGAGUGGAGAUGGAUAUAACAUUUACAAGGGCAAGUAAAAUGCAAGGUAAUUGGAGGAGAAAAAGAGCAUCAGCAGCCGAAGGAAUCAAGGAAAGCUUCAUGGAGGAGGUCCAACACAAGCACCACCUUGAAGUCUGAGUAUACCUUGAGGGAAGAUAAGAACAUCUUUAGGCAUGGAUGGCUUUUGAUCUCUACAGAAGAGUGCAUUAUGUUAUUUUUCACCCAUACGUAGAAAAGAAUAGCCCUUUAAGAAGAGCAGAAGAUGGGGUACCUUCAAGAUGAGGAAUUGAUGUGACAGGUAGCCUCAGCAUCCAGGGUUUAUGAGUCUUGGAGGUGAACCAUUUCUUUAUCUCCUCUUCAGUGAAUGACUACACAUUAACAUGCCCCUUUUUUCUCAAGAAAGGGUCUGCCUCUUUGCACGACCUGAGAUCUCAAUUAAUGCAUGGAUGCCUAUCCUGUGCAGCUCCCUUUGUCCCACCCACAAGCAGAGACCUCACCCUCUGAAGAGAACCUACAGAAGCCAUGAGGCCAUGGCCUCUAUUUUGGAGAUCAUUACUCUAGACAACAAGGAUGAGACUUCAUGAGGAAUUAGAUGGAACUUCUCUCCAAGUCCCUGAAGAGUGGAGGGAGUUGGUCAUGCCAAAUCUCCUCCAGGAACAGGACCGCAUCAUCUACCUUGGACCUUGGACAUAGCACACAAUGAAUGAAAUCUGGUUGAUAAAUUUCACUUGCUCUGGUCCUGACUUAGAAGCUUGUUUGUAGUUAUUAUGGAAAGAUCUGUGAUUUAGUCAGCUUUGAGAUCUCUGCACCAACCAGCUAGAAAUCCUCAUGACUCAGUAGACAAAUCCUGGAGAGAGGUCUGAGGCAGGCCGUUAUCAAGUGACUUGUCUAGGACUUCCUGCAGCCUCAUCGUAAGACCUAUGGCAACAGUGGUGAGCAAUGAAAUCUCCAGUCAUUCUCUUUGGCCUCACAGGACAAAUUUAUCGCCAUCCUCAGUGGAGCCUGCAUCCAGUUUUCCAACAUGGGUGCACUUCACACAAAGGGUAUUGAUACUGCUCUUUUGGAGAAGACGUAAGAAGAACAGCAUUUGAUUGUUAAAGGACAGCACGUGCUCACGCACUCAUGUGCUCUCACACACACAUUCUUCCCCCGUCCUGGCCCAAAUCAGGUCGUGGAUUUCUGACUCGCUGUUGCUGUUGUUGUGAGAGAAAAAUGGAUCUUUCUGCUCCCUGCAUGCUCAGAAAACCAGAUGUUAUCAUCACUUGAUUAUUUCUCUGCUGGUACAGCUUGUUUCAUUUAUUAAAGAAAAGACACGGUUGAAAUUGGA